UACGUAGGUGGCAAGCGUUGUCCGGAUUUACUGGGCGUAAAGAGCGCGCAGGCGGUCGUUCAAGUCGCGUGUGAAAGCCCCCCGGCUCAACUGGGGAGGGUCAUUCGAUACUGAUCGACUCGAAGGCAGGAGAGGAUAGUGGAAUUCCCCAGUGUAGUGGUGAAAUACGUAGAGAUUGGGAAGAACACCAGUGGCGAAGGCGGCUAUCUGGACGGUUUCUGACACUAAGACUCGAAAGCGUGGGGAGCAAACAGG
rnacentral:rRNA from 1 species